UGGGGAAUCUUGCGCAAUGGGCGAAAGCCUGACGCAGCCAUGCCGCGUGUAUGAUGAAGGUCUUAGGAUUGUAAAAUACUUUCACCGGGGAAGAUAAUGACGGUACCCGGAGAAGAAGCCCCGGCUAACUUCGUGCCAGCAGCCGCGGUAAUACGAAGGGGGCUAGCGUUGCUCGGAAUUACUGGGCGUAAAGGGCGCGUAGGCGGACAGUUUAGUCAGAGGUGAAAGCCCAGGGCUCAACCUUGGAAUUGCCUUUGAUACUGGCUGUCUUGAGUUCGGAAGAGGUAAGUGGAAUGCCGAGUGUAGAGGUGAAAUUCGUAGAUAUUCGGCGGAACACCAGUGGCGAAGGCGACUUACUGGUCCGAUACUGACGCUGAGGCGCGAAAGCGUGGGGAGCAAACA
rnacentral:rRNA from 1 species